rnacentral:ncRNA from 1 species
ACGCUCUGGAGAAGCCCGGGUCUCACCGGGUGCCGAAGGUGCAAGGCCGGUUUCCCGGCUAAUCUCUCAGGCAAAAGGACAGAGUGAG